CUCUGCCUCCUAGCCGCCAUGAGUUGACGCAUUUUCCUCCACCAUGUGCCUCUGCCAUUUUGUUUCUGCCUUUGAGCCAGCCAGCCGUGGACUAAAACUAAGCUUUCACAG